rfam:Clostridium amylolyticum strain DSM 21864 genome assembly, contig: Ga0131114_108
UCUGGUGAUUAUGCCAUAAAGGUAACACCCGUUCCCAUUCCGAACACGAAGGUUAAGCUUUAUAGGGCCGAUGGUACUGCACGGGAGACUGUGUGGGAGAGUAGGACGUCGCCAGGU